GGAUAUGUCUUGCGACGAGACUGACCUUUCGCUGAGUCAAUCAACUUCUAAGUUGGUUAAGGAGGGGGAAGAGUCAGUUGACGAGGACGAUCUCCUUGCCUCUGACAAGGAGGACGCCAACGUCACAGUGUUGCGUAAAGACAAAAAAGGAGAUGGUGAGAGUAACCCAAAUUAAUCUCCACCACUCCAAAGCAGCCUCGGCUGCACUGCUCCUCCGAAUGGGUGUAAGUGGGGAGGAGCUCGCCCUAGUCCAGGAACCCUGGAUUCACCAAGAAAGGGUGAGUGGACUAGGCAUGAAAAGCUUUAAGCUAUUGUACGCAAAAGGAUCUGUGAUGAAGACACCGUAGCAGCCAUAUGGGAGACCAGUGUAGGUGCUAUAUUGGUUAUCUCGGCGUACAUGGCUCACGACCACAGCGACCAGCCACCGAACAACCUGGUCUGCAGAUCCAUAGAGAUGGCAAACUCGAAAAGCAUGCCGAUCAUCAUGGGGGCUGAUGCCAAUGCCCAUCACACUGUCUGGGGAAGCUCGGACAUAAACGCUAGAGGUAUCACAAAGGGAUCAAAAUUCUGGACCCAAGUGUGUCCCCAGUGAUGACAUCGCGAGGACG